CCUACGGGUGGCAGCAGUGGGGAAUAUUGGACAAUGGGCGAAAGCCUGAUCCAGCCAUGCCGCGUGUGUGAAGAAGGCCUUCGGGUUGUAAAGCACUUUCAGUGGAGAAGAAAGCCUUGGGGCUAAUACCCUCGAGGAAGGACAUCACCCACAGAAGAAGCACCGGCUAACUCCGUGCCAGCAGCCGCGGUAAUACGGAGGGUGCGAGCGUUAAUCGGAAUUACUGGGCGUAAAGCGCGCGUAGGCGGUCUGAUAAGCCGGUUGUGAAAGCCCCGGGCUCAACCUGGGAACGGCAUCCGGAACUGUCAGGCUAGAGUGCAGGAGAGGAAGGUAGAAUUCCCGGUGUAGCGGUGAAAUGCGUAGAGAUCGGGAGGAAUACCAGUGGCGAAGGCGGCCUUCUGGACUGACACUGACGCUGAGGUGCGAAAGCGUGGGUAGCAAACAGGAUUAGAUACCCUGGUAGUC
rnacentral:rRNA from 1 species